GUCCAACUCCAACAACAUACGAAUUCCCGUUGAAGUUCAUAAGGACAAUUAUACCCUCGUCAAAAUCCCCAAAACAAUCGACACAUUGAGUAAAGUUUAGCUUAUCCGACAGUCAAUUCCGUCAACAAAUAUAAGUACUUGUCAUGUUCUUAAACAAAUAUAAUUUUGCCACGUUUUGGUCAAACUUAAAAUCUGUUCUCACCCUGAAAAAUCCUGAGUAAAAGGAAACAGCUUUAGGGGCUAAUUGUCGCUUUCCCUCCCUGUAACCAUUUGUAGGGUUUCAUUGUCGUUUGCUGAGCUUCUUCCAAGAACUUUCUCGACAUCUUUUUAAGAAAAAUUUUUUUCUUUUUGCACCGUUCUUGCCCGAGUUUCAGAGAAGAUUCUGCACCCGAAGAUUUGGAGUCUUUCGUUUCUUUAAGGUUUCAUGAAGGCAACUCGACUGAAGAACCGGUUCUGGCGGUUCUCUCUAAACCGAUCGGUUCAUUUCUAGCUUCUCCCAGAACUUUGAGGAUAGGGUUUUCAAUUUGAAAUUGUUGGUUUUGAUGGCUCUGUAAAGGUUUCUUAAUUCCUGCUAUUUUCGAAGGGAGAGCAGGAAUUAUCUAUGAUUUUAGUAAUCUAAGGUUUAGAUUUGUUAAAAAGUUAUGAAAUUUUCUUCUGUAUAUAGUAGUGAUUUUUGUGUUCUCUGUAAUAGACGGUUUGAAAGAAAGUUGCUUUGCUUAAGAAGAUAAGAUGCCAUCCACUUACUUUUGGAGACUGAGGAGUGCAGUUCAGAAUGGAAUCCACAGAACAGAUUGUGGGCUUCAAGAUUCAAUUGAAGUUCUGAUUGGAACAAGGAAGCUAGGGUUUGGCAAUUGUAGGUUUUUUCAUUCUUUAAGAUUUUUGGGUCUUGCGGAUUUGCAAGGACUUUUGCCAACAGGGACUUUUUUGGCUGCAAGAUCAGAUUCUCUCUUACCUAAUCGAAGAAGAAAUAUUUCUGUUGUUGGAGCAUUUUCUCGAACAAUUUCUGUUCCAUCUGUUUCGGGCCCUGCCUUCCAGGUUUGUGGGUAUCAUAUUGAUUGUGCACUUGCUGACUUCAGUCAAAUACCUCCAGUUUGCAAAUUUCAGAGUAAACCUAUGGCUGCUUCUGGUUCUAGAGUUGUAUUUGGUGGAGAUUUUAUUGGUACAUUAAAGUUAAAGCAUGAGCACCUUUCAUCGUUAACAAGUAGUGCUGACAUAUUUUAUGGCAAUGGGAAUUUGAAUGGCUGCAUAAAAGCUAGAAUGAGUUUGAAAAACCAUGAGAAACCUAACAGGUCUCCAAUUUAUGGAUAUUUCAUUUAUAGUGUUGGAAAAAGAUGGUGCAACUUUAAUCCUUGGUCGGGGUCAGGUUCAAGGGCUUUCCUUAGUUCAUUGUCUUCUUGUUUAUCCUUUGGUACCGUACCUGAUGUUUCCUUUGAUAAUUCUGGUCAUGAAGAACAGGUUGCCAGUUCUUCUGUGUCAGCAGAAGAGUAUGCUCUCUGUGCACUUUCCAAUUUCCUUUUACCAAAUCAUUACGAUAUCUUUUGCAAAUUAUAUUUUGCCAUGCUUGACAAUUAUGAUAGGAAGAUUUCUGCUGGAAAAACUCUGAAGCUGCGUUCAGGAUCCUGCUAUCUUCCCCAUCCUGACAAAGAAGAUACUGGAGGUGAAGAUGCUCAUUUCAUAUGUGUGGAUGAACAAGCAGUAGGUGUAGCAGAUGGAGUCGGUGGCUGGGCAGAUCUGGGUGUUGAUGCAGGGCUGUAUUCUAGGGAACUCAUGUCUAACUCUGUAAAUGCUAUCCAAGAGGAGCCCAAGGGUUCAAUUGACCCUGCAAGAGUCUUAGAGAAAGCUCACUCUAGCACAAAAGCUAAAGGUUCCUCAACAGCAUGCAUCAUAGCCCUCACAGACCAGGGUCUUGAUGCUAUAAACUUGGGAGAUAGUGGUUUUAUGGUGGUUCGAGAUGGAUGCACUAUAUUUAGAUCCCCUGUCCAGCAGCAUGAUUUUAACUUCACAUAUCAACUUGAGAGUGGAAGUAAUGGUGAUUUACCUAGUUCUGGUGAGGUGUUCGCAGUUCCUGUUGCUCCAGGAGACGCUGUCAUUGCUGGCACAGAUGGACUGUUUGAUAACUUGUACAAUAAUGAAAUUACUGCAGUGGUGGUUCAUGCUGUGAGAGCUGGUUUGGGGCCUCAAGUGACUGCUCAAAAGAUAGCAGCGUUGGCACGGCAACGGGCACAAGAUAGAAACCGACAGACACCUUUCUCAACUGCUGCUCAAGAUGCUGGGUUCCGUUAUUAUGGUGGAAAGCUUGAUGACAUCACUGUUAUUGUGUCAUAUAUUACUAGCUCCGAGGAAGUAUGCAUUUGCUCUUAAUUCUUUCUAUCCUGUUUAGGCGAACUAAAAAUAGGCUUCAAGGAAUAAGAGUGGAAUACCUUCCAUUUUGACCUACAUCAAAAUGAACAUUGGGGAUGACUGCAUUGGGAGAACAAGUCUGCAUGAGCACGAGGAGCUGUUGUAGGGAAGUUAGUGAACCUUGUUUUACUUGAUUUGCCGCGAUGAUCCAAUUUUGUUAGGAAGCAAAUUCUUAUGAUGUUGAUAAGUUGGUUUUGUAGGAUCCAUUGUUCCUGAGUUCGCAAUCGAACCGCCUCUGUUUUUGAUGUAUUUUUCAUUUGUUUUUGUCACGUGCCUUUAUGUUGGUGAGUUAGAUGUUGCUCUCAAUGUACAAACCACAAUCAUUGUUGUAAAUAUAUUAGUAUUGUCGUUAGUAUUUUAAGUGAAAUGUUCUUUUUGCCAGAAUUAAACAAAAAAAAGGGUCUUGCUCUGUUCCA